UUCUAUUAACAUUUUCGGUCUCUCUAUCUCUCUCUCUCUUUCUCUUUCCCCAGCCCGCCUCAUCCCUUCCCUCUCCUACUCAUCUACGUCGCCACUGCCCAAACUAGAUGGACCAUUUGCAGCCACCCAACGGUGACACGCACGGCACCAAGACCUUCCCCAGUCCCCAAAACCCCUUACCUCAGAGCCUCGUCAUCCCACUCGCCGACCUUCAUCACAACAAGCCCCCCGAAGCUUUUCACCGCCGUGGUUUUAGAGCCUUUUUUCGAUGGGCUCUUACAUCGUAUAGAAAAGUAUAUGGCAUGGUUGAACUCGGGACAAUGAGAGGAGCAAAACCCACCCAAGGAUCAACCUCACUAGUUAUCGGAAAAGAAAGAUGGGUUCAUCGGAUUUCAUGGAGGUCUGAACCUUCUAAGCCCAAACCAGGCCACCACAACUCGUUUCAAGAUAAACCACCACUACUAGGACGUUCCUCGAGUCUUGGGCUUCGAAGAUCAGUCAUUUUUUCCCAAACCACCAUCGUGGAAUGUUGGCGUCGCUGUCGUUGCCAGAUCUCCAUCGUGGGUCUCGGUCAACGACCACUCAAAGUGAACGAAUACUUGUUUUGAACUUUGAAAAUCACAUUCGGACUCUUAAUGAUGGCGCAAAUGUUGGGUUUUAAAUAUUUGGGGAUGUCCAAUUUGCAGUUGUUAUGCUGGCCGAUUUUAUAAAAAAAUUAGUGAACUUGUGUUGAGUUAAAUUUAUAAAAUCACAUGUUAUUCUAGGAUCGAUUAGAAUAGCGAUUUCUAAAGAUUAGCGAAUUUUGAAUAUGAAUUUUAAGUUGUAUUAUAAUAACACUCGAGGCUAGAGUGAUACUUUAUUAAGAACUAUUAUAAGCGGCAUAGUAUUAUAAGUCA